rnacentral:rRNA from 1 species
CCUACGUGAGGCUGCAGUGGGGAAUAUUGGGCAAUGGGCGCAAGCCUGACCCAGCAACGCCGCGUGAAGGAAGAAGGCUUUCGGGUUGUAAACUUCUUUUUAGAGGGAAGAGCAGAAGACGGUACCUCUUGUAUAAGCCUCGGCUAACUACGUGCCAGCAGCCGCGGUAAUACGUAGGUGGCAAGCGUUGUCCGGAUUUCAUGGGUGUAAAGGGCGUGCAGCCGGGAAGACCAGUCAGAUGUGAAAUCCCGCGGCUCAACCGCGGAACUGCAUUUGAAACUGGUUUUCUUGAGUACGGGAGAGGUCAUCGGAAUGCCUUGUGUAGCGGUGAAAUGCGUAGAUAUAAGGAAGAACACCAGUGGCGAAGGCGGAUGACUGGACGACAACUGACGGUGAGGCGCGAAAGCGUGGGGAGCGAACAGGAUUGGAUACCCGGGUAGUC